rnacentral:rRNA from 1 species
GAUGAACGCUAGCUACAGGCUUAACACAUGCAAGUCGCGGGGCAGCAUGGGGGUUGCUUGCAAUCCCCGAUGGCGACCGGCGCACGGGUGAGUAACGCGUAUCCAACCUGCCCUUCACCACGGGAUAACCCGGCGAAAGUCGGACUAAUACCGUAUGUUGUCCAUUGACGGCAUCCGAUUUGGACGAAAGGCUUGGCGGUGAUGGAGGGGGAUGCGUCCGAUUAGCCAGACGGCGGGGUAACGGCCCACCGUGGCUACGAUCGGUAGGGGUUCUGAGAGGAAGGUCCCCCACACUGGAACUGAGACACGGUCCAGACUCCUACGGGAGGCAGCAGUGAGGAAUAUUGGUCAAUGGGCGUAAGCCUGAACCAGCCAAGUAGCGUGCAGGAUGACGGCCCUAUGGGUUGUAAACUGCUUUUAUGCGGGGAUAAAGUGGCCCACGUGUGGGCUUUUGCAGGUACCGCAUGAAUAAGGACCGGCUAAUUCCGUG